GAGGCUUUUGUUGUGUGAAACCUACUGCCUUUUUGCUUUCUUACUGUCAGCUUUUCUUCCAUUUUAUGUUUUGAAGAGUUAGAACAAAUUAAUUAGGAGUCAUAAACCGUAAUUACAUAAAUAUUGUCUUAAUAAAUAAGUGUGUGGCCUCAACCAUAACAUUAUUUACAACGGAAAAAACACAGUGAAAAAUCCUAAAAUUCAGAGCUCACCGAGACGCCAGAUGCAACUGUGAGGUGUGAGGCCAGACAUAGUCAUGCACUGGAGAUGACAGCAGGAUAGAGGAACAAGCUUGGCUGGAAAUGUCACUGACCGAGCUGGGGACUCUUCAGAUUAUCAUGCCUCAAUGGUGCAGGCAGGACCCUGUCAGGAACGCGUAAGUCAAAACGGGUUGGAAAACGCUGUCAUCCUCCCGACAUCCUCAAAGACUCAUCCUGAUCAGCAACUG